GGGCGGAUAGCUCAGUUGGUGAGAGUGCCUGCCUUACAAGCAGGAAGUCGCCAGUUCAAGUCUGGCUCCGCCCACCA
rnacentral:tRNA from 1 species